UAGCACCCGGAUUCAUUCGCGGAUCCACGAGGCAGCAAAAAGAGCUAUAAUCAACUAUGGUUCAGCUUCCACAGCGCUCUGGAGAACAGCCUCAAGAGCUGGCUACGAAGACGCGUUCCAGGGUUGUCCAGAGACAAAGAGCUUCGUGUGUAAGCGGAAUGAAAAAGAAAGACAGUCAAACAGCGACGUAGUUGGAAACUGCUCAAGUUGACUUCAGUAACUCAAGUGAGCAGAUUGGUCACCCCUUGGUACUGGAAUGUGUAUGUGUCCUGCGGGCUACAAGAAAGGAAGGGUCAAGGGCAGUCACAUCCGGGGGCCCGCAGCAAACCUACUACUAGAACAUCCGGUCGAUGUACACCGGACAUUUCUGCUCUUCAUUAAACAAUCUCUGAUCGUUUCGCCUUCGUUAAAAAUAACCUCUUUAUUCGUUAUGUAUAAUUUUGCUUGUUAUUCAUGUCUUGCAAUGUGGACCCAACGUUUUGCCUUUAAUUUCCUUUCAAAUAUGCUAUUCCACAAAACUUGCAUCUAGCAUAAAACCUUGGAAAACAAUCUAA